AGGCACCUCAGCUGUUUUGGGACUACAACCCCCAUCAUCCCUAGCUAACAGGACCAGUGGUCAGGGAUGAUGGGUAUUGUAGUCCCAAAACAGCUGGAGGGCCA